rnacentral:lncRNA from 1 species
GCGGCGUGCGAGAAAGAGGGCCGGGGGAAGGAGAGAGAGAUGAAAAUAAUGUUGUUAAUUAGAUUUAGGGUUGUUGGAGGGUAAAAUUGUCAUUUUACAUAAUAUGUAGUAUUAACGGGUUUCAGUAAUACAAGAUACACGACUCCCCUCCCGUUAAUAUUUUCGAUGUAAUCCUGCUCGAUUUGUAAUGCUACAUUAACGACUAGAUUACAUAGCGGAUUAACCAAACACAGUUAUCCUGUCAGGAUUGUCUGUAAUCCUGCCAAGAUAACUCGAACCAAACACACCCUUAGGGUGCGUUUGGUUCGUGCUAUCUUUUAAAGAUUCCUAGUAAUCCAAUGGGAAUAAAAAAAUAUGACGGUGUUUGGUUAAACGCACUAAGUAAUCUAGUUGGUAAUAUUGGAUUCACUUGGGAAUAAGAUUCACCCGAAAGUACUAAUCUCAUUCCCUUGGGGGAGGAUGGGUAUCCUCAUAUUAAUGGAUUGGGGUAAUCAUAAUAUGUCUAAUCUCUUUCAUUCUUCCUACCCGCAGGCUAAUUGAUAUUAUUUUUCUUUACACUCUAACCUUAUAUCUCUCUCUAAACUUAUUUUUCUCUCUAAAAUUCAACUUU